rnacentral:snRNA from 1 species
CGUUGCUUUUUGAUCCUUCG